UUAAAGCAACCAGUCUUUUUUGCUUCGUUUUUAUUUUGUCCAGCAGUCAAAUGCAUCUCGUUUUGGAUACCCGUCCAACGAAUAGCUUCGUCCUCGCUUAGAGGUUCCUUGAUAUCUUCAUGUUACCGCAGAACUGUUCCUGGAUGUAAGGUUAAAGAGAGCCGUUUACCAAAAAUCUAAAGUGCCUUCAAAGGAACCCAUGCCCGAGGGGCCACUGCACUCACCCCUGCGUGCUGCUGAAGAGACAGUCCUGGAAAGACAAGCCCCUUUGGACUAUAGGUGAAAAUAUUUACAACGACUGCCUUCAAAUAUGCCAGAAGUAGCCUGCAAGUUGCUGCAGUCAACCGGAAACGGUAUGUAUCUACGUGUCUUCAAGACAGUGGCCGUUACUCUACAAGCCUUCAACGCUGAAGUACACUCUUUAAUAAGUAAUACACGUUUCACGGGGGUUGCUUGCAAAUCCAGGAGUCGAAAUCUCGAAUUAUAAGAACUGGGCUGUU